AGUGAACGCUGGCGGUAGGCCUAACACAUGCAAGUCGAACGGCAGCACAGGAGAGCUUGCUCUCUGGGUGGCGAGUGGCGGACGGGUGAGGAAUACAUCGGAAUCUACUCUGUCGUGGGGGAUAACGUAGGGAAACUUACGCUAAUACCGCAUACGACCUACGGGUGAAAGCAGGGGACCUUCGGGCCUUGCGCGAUUGAAUGAGCCGAUGUCGGAUUAGCUAGUUGGCGGGGUAAAGGCCCACCAAGGCGACGAUCCGUAGCUGGUCUGAGAGGAUGAUCAGACACACUGGAACUGAGACACGGUCCAGGCUCCUACGGGAGGCAGCAGUGGGGAAUAUUGGACAAUCGGCGCAAGCCUGAUCCAGCCAUGCCGCGUGGGUGAAGAAGGCCUUCGGGUUGUAAAGCCCUUUUGUUGGGAAAGAAAUCCAGCUGGCUAAUACCCGGUUGGGAUGACGGUACCCAAAGAAUAAGCACCGGCUAACUUCGUGCCAGCCGCCGCGGUAA
rnacentral:rRNA from 1 species